rnacentral:rRNA from 1 species
UAAUACGUAGGGACCAAGCGUUGUUCGGAUUUACUGGGCGUAAAGGGCGCGUAGGCGGCCCUGUAAGUCACUUGUGAAAUCUCUGAGCUUAACUCAGAACGGCCAAGUGAUACUGCAGGGCUAGAGUGUAGAAGGGGCAAUCGGAAUUCUUGGUGUAGCGGUGAAAUGCGUAGAUAUCAAGAGGAACACCUGAGGUGAAGACGGGUUGCUGGUCUAACACUGACGCUGAGGCGCGAAAGCCAGGGGAGCAAACGGGAUUAGAUACCCCGGUAGUCCUGGCCCUAAACGAUGAAUACUUGGUGUCUGGAACUAUUAAGUUCUGGGUGCCGUCGCUAACGUUUUAAGUAUUCCGCCUGGGGAGUACGCUCGCAAGAGUGAAACUCAAAUGAAUUGACGG